rnacentral:lncRNA from 1 species
GUUAAAAAUUUCCACUUUCAGAAAUUUGCUCCUAAUCCAUAACAUGGAUCCUUCCCUUUGCAUCCAAAGCCCAAAGUUUUAGUCCUGUUCACCAUGGCCACAGCGAAAAGAUUUUUCCUUUUCUCUUUGUAACAGAUUUUUACCUGCUCUUAACUUAGAAUUUCUUCUCCAUCUCCUUCUUUCUCCAGACAUUUUCUGGAAAUCUCUUUUCUUCCACUUUCCAGCAAUGAAUUUUGAUCACUGUUUCCAUUUCAGACUCAAUUUUAGAUUGUGUUUAGAUACCACUCUGAAGAAACCACAGAAAAGCAAACCCUGGAAAUAAGCCAGGGAAUUUCUGAUGUUAGUGUUCUGGAGCAGAUGUGUAUAUAUCCAGGAGCCAUGCAUCAGUUCCUCAGAGUUUCCUGUUCAAUUAAAGUUAUGUUCUGGCUCUGAAGCUGAAGAGGCGGAUCUUGGAUAAAACCCUAGAAAACAAGACUCUCCCAGUUCUCUGUGGAUAGCAGCAAUCCUUUAAUAAAGGAUCAGAG